GCCUCCGUAGCUCAGGGGAUAGAGCGUCUGCCUCCGGAGCAGAAGGCCACAGGUUCGAUUCCUGUCGGGGGCA
rnacentral:tRNA from 3 species